GGUCCAGCCUGCCCAGUGACUUGUUUAACGGCCGCGGUAUCCUAACCGUGCGAAGGUAGCGUAAUCACUUGUCUUUUAAAUAAAGGCUAGUAUGAAAGGCAUCACGAGGGUCAAACUGUCUCCAUUUUCUAAUCAGUAAAACUAAUCUUCCCGUGAAGAAGCGGGAAUUUUCCUAUAAGACGAGAAGACCCUAUGGAGCUUUAAACUGCAAGUUAUUCGCCUAUUCCUUUAUUAGUUUCAGAAAUUUAAUAUCCAGGCCCGUUAACUACAAGUUUUAGGUUGGGGUGACCUAGGAGAAAAACAAAUCCUCCUAGUUGGUACGGGUUAAGCCCUGAAAAAAAAGCCACAACUUUAAUUACCAAUAAAUUGACAUCAAUUGACCCAGUCCGCUGAGCAACGAACCAAGUUACCCUAGGGAUAACAGCGCAAUCUACUUCAAGAGUCCCUAUCGACAAGUGGGUUUACGACCUCGAUGUUGGAUCAGGGUGUCCGAGUGGUGCAGCCGCUACUAAAGGUUCGUUUGUUCAACGAUUAAAACCCU
rnacentral:rRNA from 1 species